GGAGUUAGCCGGUGCUUCUUCUGUGAGUGAUGUCCUUCCUGCCGGCUAUUAACCCGCAGGCCUUCUUCCUCACUGAAAGUGCUUUACAACCCGAAGGCCUUCUUAACACACGCGGCAUGGCUGGAUCAGGGUUGCCCCCAUUGUCCAAUAUUCCCCACUGCUGCCUCCCGUAGGAGUCUGGGCCGUGUCUCAGUCCCAGUGUGGCUGAUCAUCCUCUCAGACCAGCUACGGAUCGUCGCCUUGGUGAGCCGUUACCUCACCAACCAGCUAAUCCGACAUAGGCUCAUCCGAUAGCGCGAGGCCCGAAGGUCCCCCGCUUUCCCCCGUAGGGCGUAUGCGGUAUUAGCCUGGGUUUCCCCAGGUUAUCCCCCACUACCGGGCAGAUUCCUAUGCAUUACUCACCCGUCCGCCGCUCGCCACCAGGGAGCAAGCUCCCCGUGCUGCCGCUCGACUUGCAUGUGUUAGGCCUGCCGCCAGCGUUCAAUCUGAGCCAGGAUCAAACUCUGA
rnacentral:rRNA from 1 species